rnacentral:tRNA from 1 species
GGGGACAUAGCUCAAUGGUAGAGCGUUUGCCUAAAAUACUUAAGGCUUUGGAUUCCAUUCCCCAUCUCUCUC